ensembl:snRNA U6 U6 spliceosomal RNA
GUGCUUGCACAUAUAUACUAAAAUUGGAACAAUACAGAGAUUAGCAUGGCCCCUUGUUCAAGGAUGACAUGUAAAUUCAUAGGGCAGUCCAUAUUCUU